UCAGACUUUCAAAAACGUAGGCUUGGUAGAGAGAGAAAAAACAAACGAGAAACAUAAGGAGAGAGAGAGAGAAAGAGAGAGAGAGAGAGAGAGAGAGAGGAAAACAAGGGAAAGAAAAAAAGGAGCUACGACCUCCGAGACUGUAAAACAGAGUAAGAGAGGGACAGAGGGAGAGUGUGCAACUGCGCGCGCCAGCGGGCGACAUGAGAAGAAGCCUAAAACGACACCGGAAAAUGCCGUCUGCAAUUCUAAACGACACUCUCAUUCUCUGAACAUUAUCGUAUUCCUCACGCCGUUGCCGUUUUUCAUCAUCGUGUCGUCGUUUCUUUUGCCUCCGGAAAAAUUAAAACUCGGCAACAUAGUUACAUAGCAGAAUAGGAAAAUGAGCCGUUUAGGGUUCAGAACCGAGGUUUAUAACGCGGACAUGCGUUUGGGUGAACUCGACGUCGUUUCGGUUCCAACGUUCCCGAAUUUCCGGUUCCCAAACGACGAGAUUCGAAUCCGCCACAUGUCACCGAAGAGCGAGCGUUGCCCUCCGCUUUCGGUGCUCCAAACCAUUUCCGCGUUCGCCGUUCGAUGCAAGCUUGAGUCCUCACUCCCCGUGGAGCAGCCACACUUAACCAACCUUCAUGCCAGUUGCUUCUAUGAACUGAUGACUGCGGUGGUGCUGGCCGGAGAGGAGGAGAUUCACCUGGUGGCGAUGCCAAGUAAGAGGAAGAAGUUCCCGUGCUUCUGGUGCUAUGCCGUGCCCAAAGGUUUGUACAAUGCGUGUUUGGGGAUGCUGAACAUGAGGUGCCUCGCGAUCGUGUUUGAUUUGGAUGAGACUCUUAUAGUUGCCAACACGAUGAAGUCGUUCGAGGACAGGAUUGACGCCCUGCGUGGGUGGCUCUUGCGGGAGACAGAUCCAUUGAAGGUUCAGGGGAUGUCUGCAGAGCUCAAGCGAUGCCUUGAGGACCGCCUGCUGCUGAAGCAGUAUGCGGAGAAUGAUUCUGUCAUGGAUAAUGGGAGGGUUUACAAGGUGCAGAUGGAGGAGGUGCCUGCCUUGUCUGAGAACCAUGAGAAACGUAUUCGCCCAAUUGUGAGGUUGCCAGAAAAGAACAUUGUCCUCACUCGCAUCAACCCUGAGAUUCGUGAUACUAGUGUACUCGUGAGGUUGCGCCCUGCAUGGGAAGAUUUGAGAUGCUAUUUAACUGCAAAAGGACGCAAGAGGUUUGAAGUUUAUGUUUGUACAAUGGCUGAAAGGGAUUAUGCUUUGGAAAUGUGGAGGCUUCUUGACCCAGAGGCACAUCUUAUAGGUUCAAAGCAAAUUCUUGAUCGUGUGAUUUGUGUGAAAGCAGGCUCGCGAAAAUCCUUACUAAAUGUUUUUCAAGAUGGUAUGUGCCAUCCUAAAAUGGCAAUGGUGAUUGAUGAUCGAUCGAAAGUUUGGGAAGACAAAGACCAGCCCAGGGUUCAUGUGGUUCCUGCCUUUACUCCAUAUUAUGCUCCCCAAGCCGAGACUGCCAGUGCUGUUCCAGUCCUAUGUGUAGCAAGAAAUGUUGCAUGUAAUGUCAGAGGUUGCUUUUUUAAAGAGUUUGAUGAGAUUUUAUUACAAAGAAUCGCUGAAAUCUUCUUUGAAGACGAUGUUGUAAGUUUACCUCACCCCCCGGAUGUGAGCAACUACCUGAUGUCUGAGGAUGUACCAAAUGGUAAUUCUAAUGGCCCUAUCAACGAAGGAAUGAAUGGUGCAGAAGUUGAGCGAAGGUUAAGCCAACCUGAUGAUAAGCUUUCUGUUGAUGUAGUUACUCGACCUUUGGUUAACAAUGCUGAAUUCAGACCUGAAACUUCUCAACCAACUGCUGGUAUUAUUUCAAAUAUCGCUGGCCCUGGAUCUUCACGAACCCCAAUUCUGUCUCAGAAACCUGGUUUGCUUGGACCUCCAGUCAGGCAUGACGUCAACUCUCUUGAUCGUGAUCAUGACAUGAAAAGAGGACUAUUAACGAUGAGGCAUGGUCCGGAUAUAAGAGGUCAAACUUCAGUUGAAACCCCGCUUAUGUCAAAGCCGCCUCCGCCCCUACCCUCACAACCAUCUCCAUCUUUAACACAGUCACAUGGAGGCUGGUUGGUAGAUGAUGAUAUAAGCAGCAGACCUCAUACAAAUAGCCGGCCUUUUGCAUCUCUUAAGGAACCAAAUGCAGUAAAAUCUGACAAGCAUCAGGCUCAACAGAAACCAUUUUCCCAUAGUAUGGUAGUUUCACCGCCCAAUGCUUUACUCUUGCCAGCAUCACAACUUAAGGCUGAGGAGGCAUUUUCCAUGAGUGACUUGCAGAGGCAGAAUGCACUGUCAAAGUCCCAGCUUUCAGCAGAGGAGGGAAUAUCCCCAAAUCAUGCAUCUUCUAAUGGCAAAGAUAUUCAGAGUGAGGCUGGAAAAUUAAACAUUUUACCUUCUGUUGCUAUCGGAGUGCUACAAGAAAUAGGCAGGCGAUGUUGCUCUAAGGUUGAAUUUAAGUCUAUUGUAAGCACCAGCAAAGACUUGCAGUUUUCAGUGGAGGUACUCUUCACUGGUGAGAAAAUUGGUGUUGGUAUGGGUAGGACAAGGAAGGAUGCUCAACAACAAGCUGCUGAGAAUGCUCUUCGCUGUUUGGCAGAGAAGUAUGUAGCACAUAUGGAGCCUCAAUGUAGAGCUGUUGAUUGCGAAUUUGACAAGCUUUCUCUUGGACAUGAAAAUGGUUUCUUGUGGGAUGAGGUUACUCCGGAGUCUAGUGAACAGCAAAGAAAAGAUGGCUUACCCAAAGAAAGUGCUUCUGAGGUGGGGAUUUCUAAUGUGUCUGAUUGUUGAUUUGACUUGUUUGUUUUAAGGAAAUAGGUGAUGCUUGGAUAAGGGGUAUAUGGACUAGAUACUCCAGAUGAUGCCUAGUGAUUUUAUAGAGAAUUACACAGUUUAUGGAAUUGUAUAGCAUCAACGUGAAGGCUAAAUCACUGAAUGGGGAGUGAGCUGGCUUCAUGUCUGCUACUGCUGUCUUAGACAGGGCCUCUUAAAUUCCUACUUAAAAGGCCUCAGAUGCUGAGACAAAGCUCUCUACACUUAAUGCUACUAUUGUGCAAAUAGAAAAGCGUUCCAGUUCCCCCAGGUUGCCCCAGUCUAUUCCCAAUAAACGGUUGAAGGAAUGAGUAUGUUGCAAGAUGACACAAAAACUUCCAUCAUUGUAUUAAUCAGAAUCUCCUUACCUCGUGAAACCGCAUAUAAUCAUUUUGGAGGCAACAAAAGGUCUUGUAUGUUAUUUGCUCAUGUAAUAUCUGCCAUAGCGUUUUUGGAUAUGCUUAGGCUACUCUCUUUGUUAAUUUCUUUCACUAUAGAGAGGGGCAUGUUUUUUUGGUUUUGCCCUACUAUUUUUCACAUUUUUAGGAUCUGGUAUAGCCUCAUUGUUAAUGUUUCAUUAGUUUGAACAUAAAUCACAAGAAAAGAAAUAAUAUUUAAUGUGUAAUCUAUUAGCAUUCCCCCCCUAUUGCAUUGUUGCUUGAAUAUAGUUGACGUUUGCCCCCUUA